GGAGGGGCGGCGCUCCCGCCGGCUGGGCUUCGGGGCAACGUUAACCGGCGCCCGCCGCCACCGGAGCAGGAGGUACCGGGGCCGCGUGGAGGGUGCGUGGACGAGGGUCCGGGACGCGGGCCUGGGGGCCCGGGUAGGGAGGGGCGUUUUGAGAAGGAAAGGGCGGGGAGGGCUCGGCCACUGCCCCGCCACCUGUUCCAGAGGGGACAUUUGAGGGCGCACUGCCUGGGCGCGGCGGUCCCCGGCCGCCGCCUCCGCUCCCCUGCUCCCCAAAGUUGAGCGGGGCGGCUGGAGUGGGAGCCCCGGCCCGCUAGGGUAGCCUUGCCCCGCCCGGGAGCCCUCGGAACAGCCCCGCCCGGGCCGGGUCCCGCGGGGGGAGAGGGGGCCAGAAGUCGGGGUCCGAGGGCGGGCCACCCCCCUCCCGCGCUGCGACCUUGGGCGAGUAGCGCCACGCUGUCUGGGGGCGCGGGAUCGUCCCGGGAGGCCUGGCCGCGGGGCCGCGCUCGCCGCUGGCCCUGCAGGGAGCGGCCGGCUGGAGGGCGGGCUGCCGGGGCAGGAGAUGCUGAGGCUUUGGACGCUCCGAGGCGGGGAGGGACCCUCCAGGUGCAGGGAACUGCGGGGGUAAGAGCGGAGAAGUCGGAAAGUCGGGCCUCGGCGCUCGCUCGUGUCAGGAUACGCGUCUGCAGACGACCCCUCCUUCCGGCGUGCUUCUCUCCCUCCCUCUUCUCCAGAUGGGAAAGAUUGAGUGAAGUGGGAGCUGGGAUGUGCUGCGGGGAGGUCCAACCUCAGAGUCCACUUCCCUUCGCUGCUAGUGUCCCUCUGGCUGCCAAGUGA
ensembl:lncRNA